GAUGAACGCUGGCGGCGUGCCUAAUACAUGCAAGUCGAGCGAACAGACGAGGAGCUUGCUCCUCUGACGUUAGCGGCGGACGGGUGAGUAACACGUGGAUAACCUACCUAUAAGACUGGGAUAACUUCGGGAAACCGGAGCUAAUACCGGAUAAUAUAUUGAACCGCAUGGUUCAAUAGUGAAAGACGGUUUUGCUGUCACUUAUAGAUGGAUCCGCGCCGCAUUAGCUAGUUGGUAAGGUAACGGCUUACCAAGGCAACGAUGCGUAGCCGACCUGAGAGGGUGAUCGGCCACACUGGAACUGAGACACGGUCCAGACUCCGACGGGAGGCAGCAGUAGGGAAUCUUCCGCGAUGGGCGAAAGCCUGACGGAGCAACGCCGCGUGAGGGAUGAAGGUCUUCGGAUCGUAAAACUCUGUUAUUAGGGAAGAACAAAUGUGUAAGUAACUAUGCACGUCUUGACGGUACCUAAUCAGAAAGCCACGGCUAACUACGUG
rnacentral:rRNA from 1 species